GUUGAGGUCUAUCUCAAUGGGGCUUUUUAUGUAGACAUACAUUGUUGGAAACACCUCACAGAGUAUAUAUGUGAUUUCCUUCACUUAGAGAACUUUGUUAGAUCUGUGAGAACUACAAAGCAGGU